UACGAAGGGGGCUAGCGUUGUUCGGAUUUACUGGGCGUAAAGCGCACGUAGGCGGAUCGUUAAGUCGGGGGUGAAAUCCUGGAGCUCAACUCCAGAACUGCCUUCGAUACUGGCGAUCUUGAGUCCGGAAGAGGUGAGUGGAACUCCUAGUGUAGAGGUGGAAUUCGUAGAGAUCCCCAAGAACACCAGUGGCGAAGGCGGCUGACUGGACACAUAUUGACGCUGAGGCUCGAAAGCAUGGGGAGCAAACAGG
rnacentral:rRNA from 1 species